UACGUAGGUGGCGAGCGUUGUCCGGAAUUACUGGGUGUAAAGCGCGUGUAGGCGGCAGGCCAAGUCGGUGGUGAAAGCGCCCGGCUCAACUGGGCGAGGUCCAUGGAAACUGGUCAGCUGGAGGACGGUAGAGGCGAGUGGAAUUCCCGGUGUAGUGGUGAAAUGCGUAGAUAUCUGGAGGAACACCGGUGGCGAAGGCGGCAUCCUGGACCGGCAUUGACGCUGAGGAGCGAAAGCCAGGGGAGCAAACGGG
rnacentral:rRNA from 1 species